ACGUCUUCUCAAUACCCUGCGAUUUAUGCUGCGCCAGCAAGGGGACCUGUUAAACAAGCUCUGUGAAACCCUGCCAACCGACACAGUUCUACGACAUAAAGUUAUUCUAAGCGAGCUAUUCAGCCAGAUGCAAGCACUACUGGACUUUCAUGAGUCCUUGAAUGACAACGAGAAAGAGAUUUCGGUCCAGGAGUUCUCACGACUGGGUGGUUCCGACGCAAGAUGAGUCGCAAGGAGGAUCCUGGCCUACUGCAUGAGUGAUGAAGUUGCGUCCCAGUUCUCAUGGCUAGGACGCAAAGGAAAGCGGAGCUUCUCUGAUAUUAAGAUCGCAAAAGCUGUUGCAGCUGCAGUGAAUCGGCUGCCAGACGAAACAACAGCUACUGUUGAGGCGCACAUCAAGUCAUGGCUGCGCCAUGCGCCCGAGCGUCUCACAGCAAAGCUUGAAA